rnacentral:rRNA from 1 species
AUUGAACGCUGGCGGCAGGCCUAACACAUGCAAGUCGAACGAGUGGCGGACGUGAGAGUAAUGUCGGUGAAACUCCCUGAUGGAGGGGGAUAACUACUGAAAAGGGUAGAUAAUACCGCAUACCAUCAGAUGUGCCCAGAUGGGAUUAGCUAGGUGGUGGGGUAACGGCUCACAAAGGCGACGAUCCCUAGCUGGUCUGAGAGGAUGACCAGCCACACUGGAACUGAGACACGGUCCAGACUCCUACGGGAGGCAGCAGUGGGGAAUAUUGCACAAUGGGCGCAAGCCUGAUGCAGCCAUGCCGCGUGUAUGAAGAAGGCCUUCGGGUUGUAAAGUACUUUCAGCGGGGAGGCGUUACCCGCAGAAGAAGCACCGGCUAACUCCGUGCCAGCAGCCGCGGUAAUUC